UUUAUGUGGGAUGGCGGAAAACGGUGAACAGGCACAGUGACUCGAACAAAGGAAAGCAUGCAGAACAAAGAAACGCAAGCUAGGGUGAUCUGGUAGUGGUGAUCCGGCUCAGAUUACCCCUGGUAGAACAAAGGAGCUGGGAUGUAAUUACAGUUGCACACAUUACAAAUUACCGCUAAUGUUUUACAUGAUAUAGUUUGGAUGACGUCUAUGCUGAUACACAAUUACCCUGCACCUAUUGGCCCAAGUUCGCCACUUUUGUUUCAAGAACAACCAUAUUUUACACGAUCUAAUAAGCACAGUCAGACACAAAUGACAGAUAGUUCACUGCUUGACAAAAAGAUAACAUUCAGAAAUUUAUAAAACAUCACCACGUUGCAGACAUGUACAUAGGGGAUUAAAAAAGAGGGGUACUCACUCGG